rfam:Paludibacter propionicigenes WB4, complete genome.
ACCGCAGCAGCCGAAAAGCGGAACAAAGAGUAGGCA